rnacentral:rRNA from 1 species
CCUACGGGGGGCUGCAGUGGGGAAUAUUGCACAAUGGGCGCAAGCCUGAUGCAGCCAUGCCGCGUGUGUGAAGAAGGCCUUCGGGUUGUAAAGCACUUUCAGCGGGGAGGAAGGCGGUGAGGUUAAUAACCUCAUCGAUUGACGUUACCCGCAGAAGAAGCACCGGCUAACUCCGUGCCAGCAGCCGCGGUAAUACGGAGGGUGCAAGCGUUAAUCGGAAUUACUGGGCGUAAAGCGCACGCAGGCGGUCUGUCAAGUCGGAUGUGAAAUCCCCGGGCUCAACCUGGGAACUGCAUUCGAAACUGGCAGGCUAGAGUCUUGUAGAGGGGGGUAGAAUUCCAGGUGUAGCGGUGAAAUGCGUAGAGAUCUGGAGGAAUACCGGUGGCGAAGGCGGCCCCCUGGACAAUGACUGACGCUCAGGUGCGAAAGCGUGGGGAGCAAACAGGAUUAGAUACCCUAGUAGUC